rnacentral:rRNA from 1 species
UACGGAGGGUGCAAGCAUUGAUCGGAAUUACUGGGCGUAAAGGGCGCGUAGGCGGCCGAGAAAGUCAGAUGUGAAAUUCCUAGGCUCAACCUAGGAGCUGCAUUUGAAACUUCUCGACUUGAGGAUGGUUAGGGAAAACGGAAUUCCACGUGUAGCGGUGAAAUGCGUAGAUAUGUGGAAGAACACCAGUGGUGAAGACGGUUUUCUGGGCCAAACCUGACGCUGAGGCGCGAAAGCUAGGGGAGCAAACAGG